rnacentral:rRNA from 1 species
UGGGGAAUAUUGCACAAUGGAGGGAACUCUGAUGCAGCAACGCCGCGUGCGGGAUGACGGCCUUCGGGUUGUAAACCGCUUUCAGCCAUGACGAAGCUUUUGUGACGGUAGUGGUAGAAGAAGCACCGGCUAACUACGUGCCAGCAGCCGCGGUGAUACGUAGGGUGCGAGCGUUGUCCGGAAUUAUUGGGCGUAAAGGGUUCGCAGGCGGAAAUGCAAGUCAGGUGUAAAAGGCAGUAGCUUAACUACUGUAAGCAUUUGAAACUGCAUAUCUUGAGAAGAGUAGAGGUAAGUGGAAUUUUUAGUGUAGCGGUGAAAUGCGUAGAUAUUAAAAAGAAUACCGGUGGCGAAGGCGACUUACUGGGCUCAUUCUGACGCUGAGGAACGAAAGCGUGGGUAGCAAACAGG